UACGGAGGGUGCAAGCGUUAUCCGGAUUCACUGGGUUUAAAGGGUGCGUAGGUGGGCUGGUAAGUCAGUGGUGAAAUCUCCAGGCUUAACUUGGAAACUGCCAUUGAUACUAUUUGUCUUGAAUACUGUGGAGGUCAGCGGAAUAUGUCAUGUAGCGGUGAAAUGCUUAGAUAUGACAUAGAACACCAAUUGCGAAGGCAGCUCACUGGGACGGUAUUGACGCUGAGACGCGAAAGCGUGGGAGCAAACAGG
rnacentral:rRNA from 1 species